rnacentral:misc_RNA from 1 species
GGCGUGUCAGAGCAAUUUCUGCUACAAAUCUCUAUCUCCGUGUGAACCACAUAUAUGUAAAUUCAGAGGAUAUAAAGGAGACUGGAUAUACUUACAUCAUGCCAAAAAAUAUACUGAAGAAGUUCAUCUGCAUUGCUGAUCUGCGGACACAAAUUGCUGGUUACUUAUAUGGUGUAAGUCCACCAGAUAAUCCUCAGGUGAAAGAAAUCCGGUGUAUUGCAAUGCCUCCACAGUGGGGCACACAUCAGCAGGUGCAUCUACCUUCUGGUCUUCCUGAGCACGAUUUUCUCACUGACUUGGAGCCGUUGGGAUGGAUGCAUACACAACCAAAUGAGCUUCCUCAGUUAUCGCCACAGGAUGUGACUUCACAUGCUCGGGUCCUGGAGAACAACAAACACUGGGACGGAGAGAAGUGUAUUAUAUUGACAUGCAGUUUCACGCCAGGGUCUUGUUCAUUAACUGCGUAUAAGUUGACGCCAACCGGGUACGAAUGGGGACGUGCUAACAAGGAUACAGGAAGUAACCCUCAUGGUUACCUGCCAACCCAUUACGAGAAGGUCCAGAUGUUGUUGAGUGACAGAUUCCUUGGCUUUUAUAUGGUACCUGAUAAUGGACCUUGGAAUUACAACUUCAUGGGAGUGAAACAC